rnacentral:lncRNA from 11 species
GGCUGAGAGGCUUGCCAGCAUGUUUGGCUUCACCUCUCAGCGGGGCUUGGUCACAGCUACAUCCGAAGGCAUCCGAGACAUAAGAAACGAAGGCUCCUUUUGAUUCAAAUUCUUAAUAUUGGGAAGGCAAUGAGCAGCACAUCAUACCAUGCAGAUUUAACUAGAGGACAAAUCCGAAAGUGUGAAAGACAAUGGUUCCCAACCUUUAAGAAAACGUGGACCACUGAGGCAAAAACUGGAUACAUCGUGGACCAUCAAGAUCAAUCAACUCAUCGUCCCACCAUCCGGACAAAAAUAAUUUUUAAAAGUUUUUAAAUAACUAGAAUGUCUUAAUCAUAUUAACAUUCACAUAUACAUUUUUUACUUUGUGAUAAAGACAAAAAACCAUAAUGAGAUUUAAUGAAAAAAAUGAAUGUGAUUUUUGAGUUUGUAUUUCUUUCACUACGGUAGGUAGGGAAUCCUUGGAUUGAUACUAUUGCUCAAUGCCAUGCACAUGUUAUGGCACUGAGUAAUAUCAUACUGGACUUUGAUAGUAGUAGACUCCCAGACUGGCUUUUGAAGUCCAAAUACUGUAUUAGGCUGCUGUUCUUGGGCUUCAAGAUCUAGUCUGGGAGAAUGAGCUCCAGAGAGCUCUUCUGCUGGCUCAGCUAAAGGGAAAAAGUGCACCCAAGUGCUUCCUUCCUUUCUCUUGCUUCCUCAUGAGGAGCCAGUGAUGGAGCUUCCCUCGGCCCCUGCCUUCACUGAAUUGCAGGCUUUGACUGCAUCCUCCUCUUUGCAAUCCAGCCUGUGAACAGGGCUGCCUUUCUUGCCUCAAUAGCAG